ACAAAAAUGUAAACAAAGCCUUUGUUUACAUACGGACUGUAGAUCACCUUUAAUCUAUGGCCGGGCCAACUUAGCAGGCUGGAACAACCCGCUCAAUGUACAUGUAAUCGGCCUCUGAAAAUGUCAAAUACUAUCCCACAACUAAAACCUCGAUUCUCUCCUGCUAUCUUAUAUAUUGAACUUCGACCCUUGUCUUGAUUCAAUUGCAAGUAUCUUUGGGCACCGUUUUCAAGAGAGUUUCACAAGAAAGCAACUUUUUCCGCAAAUCUUGACUUUCUUCUUCCAUCAGUUUUCUUUUGUUGCUUGCACUUACCUUCUGCCGUCUGACGUUGUAAAGUUCCGCAUUUAAUUUCUCAACUUCGCGUUUCUUCCGGCCAAUUUCGCGCAUAAGACUUUUCUCUUUUUCUCGACAUGUUACUUGCUUUCCGUCUA
rnacentral:lncRNA from 1 species